GAGUUUGAUCGUGGCUCAGAUUGAACGCUGGCGGCAGGCCUAACACAUGCAAGUCGAGCGGAUGAUGGGAGCUUGCUCCUUGAUUCAGCGGCGGACGGGUGAGUAAUGCCUAGGAAUCUGCCUGGUAGUGGGGGACAACGUUUCGAAAGGAACGCUAAUACCGCAUACGUCCUACGGGAGAAAGCAGGGGACCUUCGGGCCUUGCGCUAUCAGAUGAGCCUAGGUCGGAUUAGCUAGUUGGUGGGGUAAUGGCUCACCAAGGCGACGAUCCGUAACUGGUCUGAGAGGAUGAUCAGUCACACUGGAACUGAGACACGGUCCAGACUCCUACGGGAGGCAGCAGUGGGGAAUAUUGGACAAUGGGCGAAAGCUUGAUCCAGCCAUGCCGCGUGUGUGAAGAAGGUCUUCGGAUUGUAAAGCACUUUAAGUUGGGAGGAAGGGCAGUAAGUUAAUACCUUGCUGUUUUGACGUUACCGACAGAAUAAGCACCGGCUAACUCUGUGCCAGC
rnacentral:rRNA from 2 species